rnacentral:rRNA from 1 species
UUUAGAGUUUGNAUCCUGGCUCAGGACGAACGCUGGCGGCGUGCUUAACACAUGCAAGUCGAACGAUGAAGCCNUUCGGGGUGGAUUAGUGGCGAACGGGUGAGUAACACGUGGGCAAUCUGCCCUUCACUCUGGGACAAGCCCUGGAAACGGGGUCUAAUACCGGAUAACACUCUGUCCCGCAUGGGACGGGGUUAAAAGCUCCGGCGGUGAAGGAUGAGCCCGCGGCCUAUCAGCUUGUUGGUGGGGUGAUGGCCUACCAAGGCGACGACGGGUAGCCGGCCUGAGAGGGCGACCGGCCACACUGGGACUGAGACACGGCCCAGACUCCUACGGGAGGCAGCAGUGGGGAAUAUUGCACAAUGGGCGAAAGCCUGAUGCAGCGACGCCGCGUGAGGGAUGACGGCCUUCGGGUUGUAAACCUCUUUCAGCAGGAAGAAGCGAAAGGAC